rnacentral:rRNA from 1 species
UACGUAGGGACCGAGCGUUGUCCGGAAUCAUUGGGCGUAAAGAGCUCGUAGGCGGUCUGCCGCGUCGGCUGUGAAAACCCGGAGCUCAACUCCGGGCCUGCAGUCGAUACGGGCAGAUUGGAGUUCGGCAGGGGAGACUGGAAUUCCUGGUGUAGCGGUGAAAUGCGCAGAUAUCAGGAGGAACACCGGUGGCGAAGGCGGGUCUCUGGGCCGAUACUGACGCUGAGGAGCGAAAGCGUGGGGAGCGAACAGG